UGGGUGUGCUCAGAGCAGGGGGCCUGGAGAAUGGCUUCUCUGUUUACAACAUACCCAAGAAGAAUCUGGGGCCACUGUAAUGAAGGCACAGCAGUGUGUCCUCUCUGUGAGCAGAUCCCCACAUGC